UACGUAGGGUGCAAGCGUUGUCCGGAAUUAUUGGGCGUAAAGAGCUCGUAGGCGGUUUGUCGCGUCUGCUGUGAAAACGCGAGGCUCAACCUCGCGCCUGCAGUGGGUACGGGCAGACUAGAGUGAUGUAGGGGAGACUGGAAUUCCUGGUGUAGCGGUGAAAUGCGCAGAUAUCAGGAGGAACACCGAUGGCGAAGGCAGGUCUCUGGGCCAUUACUGACACUGAGAAGCGAAAGCAUGGGGAGCGAACAGG
rnacentral:rRNA from 1 species